rnacentral:ncRNA from 1 species
GUUUCAGGGCGGAGUGAGAUUCUCCACCGGCGGUAAUGGGAGUUUUCCUUAGUCCGCGAGCAGAACAGCUUUUUAUAAGCUGUAGCAGAUCCGGUGUGAUUCCGGAACCGACGGUAUAGUCCGGAUGAAAGAAA